GGAUAGAUGAAUUUCCCAUUGAACCCUCACUUCUGCUGCCUAACUGCCUUCAAUCCUCCAAAAACCUAUCUGCCGCCUUCGUCUAUCCUCAUCCCCAGCUUCAAUUACUCCGCCAUCUACCAUACCAGCUUCAAUUAAUCACCCCCAAUUAACCCCUUACAUAUGCCCCCUUAUUUCUACCAGUUGCCGAUAUACCCACUCCCAAUCUCUGCCGAUAUGCCACACUGAAGACGGCGUACAACUGGUUUGACGCCGGAGACAGAAUCAACGCUCACUCUACUCUCCAUUCUUCCGUAAAACCCUAAAGAUCAUCAUCAUCCGCAAAAGUUCCUCCGCCGGUGACUCAUCAACACUCCGGUCAAUAACGACGAACAACACCGUCGUUUCAAAAGUGAAGAAUUAGGCCUCUACAAUUCAUCAACCAAUGCUAUUUAAUCCUUUACGAACGUCAUUUCUGUCUCUGCAACGUACCUCCUCCUUCAUUCCAACUCCUCAGAAGACGAUCUUUAAUCUCGCCUUCUCAGUCGCUACUGCAACAGCAAGAAUGGAUUCCCAAUCACCUUGUGUGCUAGUACUAAGUGGAAAAUCAGCAAGCGAGAGGGAACUGAUAAAGUCUAUGAAGGAAAAUGCAUCACUUAAACUUGCAGACGACGCAAAACUAUUGACAUUUUUGCAAUCUGAGAAGGGAUGGCAAUCCGAGAAAGAUGAGUUUAAUUUCGACACAUACAUGGCUUCCCUUACGACUACAUGCUUCGGAAGAGUUCUUCUUUGGUCUCCGAGAUUACCUUCGACUCAGGAUGUUGUCUCUCUCAACUUUUGUGAGAUUCCAAUAGGCAGUGUGUGCAUAGCAGAUGUUCAAUUCAAAGGAAGAGGACGUUCUCAAAACAUAUGGGAAUCUCCAAAGGGUGGUCUUCUCUUUUCAUUUACAAUACAAAUGGAAGAUGGUCGUGUGGUGCCCCAUGUGCAGUACGUUGUGUGUCUUGCUGUGACAGAAGCAAUAAAGGAUCUCGCUCUUAAAAAUGGUAUCCCACCUCUGGAUGUUAGAAUAAAGUGGCCAAAUGAUCUUUAUUUGAAUGGCCUCAAAGUGGGAGGAAUUUUGUGUACAUCAACAUAUAAAGCUAAGAAGUUUAACGUUAGUGCUGGAGUAGGCUUGAAUGUUGACAAUGAUAAGCCAACAACAUCCUUGAAUGCGGCCCUGCAGAAGUUGACUUGCGAUUACCACCUACGCAGAGAAGACAUUACUUCAGCUUUCUUUAAUAAAUUCGAGCAUCUCUUCCAUGUUUUAAUUAACCAAGGCUUCAAACCCCUUGAGGAGCUAUAUUACAAGACAUGGCUUCAUAGUGGGCAGAGGAUUACAGUCCAAGAUCAAGAUUUACGGGUAGAAAAUGUAGUUACUGUUCAGGGGUUAACAUCUUCUGGAUAUUUAUUAGCCAUUGCUGAUAAUGGUGAGAUGUGCGAGCUUCAUCCGGAUGGCAAUAGCUUUGACUUUUUCAAAGGACUGGUGAGGAGAAAACUUAUGUGACUUGAUCGAUAUCCUCGUCGCGGUAGCUGCAAAUGCUUCUUCAGCGUGUAACACUUGUAAAAGGAAAGAGCAACUUUGGUGCAUUAACGUUAGGGCAAAUUACAUAAGGAUAGCAGGUAGACGAGCAACAAACUGCGCCGCCAUCUGUUUGGUUACAAACUGCGUCACCAUCCGUUUGUUACCUUCUUUAUUGUAAUUUAAUUUAAAGGUGUUUAUAUUAUGUUACAGACGAUGUUUCUACAUAUAUUUUUAGGUAUAAGAGCCUUACAACCAAACGGAUGAGGUUUAAAUGAGAACUCAUAUAUUUUGUUAGAAAA